rnacentral:rRNA from 1 species
AACGAACGCUGGCGGCAUGCCUAACACAUGCAAGUCGAACGAAGCCUUCGGGCUUAGUGGCGCACGGGUGCGUAACACGUGGGAAUCUGCCCUUCGGUUCGGAAUAACAGUUAGAAAUGACUGCUAAUACCGGAUGAUGACGUAAGUCCAAAGAUUUAUCGCCGAAGGAUGAGCCCGCGUAGGAUUAGGUAGUUGGUAGGGUAAUGGCCUACCAAGCCGACGAUCCUUAGCUGGUCUGAGAGGAUGAUCAGCCACACUGGGACUGAGACACGGCCCAGACUCCUACGGGAGGCAGCAGUGGGGAAUAUUGGACAAUGGGCGAAAGCCUGAUCCAGCAAUGCCGCGUGAGUGAUGAAGGCCUUAGGGUUGUAAAGCUCUUUUACCAGGGAUGAUAAUGACAGUACCUGGAGAAUAAAGCUCCGGCUAAACUCCGUGCCAGCAGCCGCGGUAAAAAGUACUCUAU